UUCUAAAUUUUCCCACAUAAAAAGGAGCAAAAACCCUAUUUAAAUGGAAGACAAAAGAAGGGAAAUUCACAAGUGAAAAGACUCUCUCACUCAUUCUUAGCAUUAAAACACAGUGGCAGGUGUCUCUUGCGAAAUACUUUGUUUCUUUUUGUGUUUCACCGACAACAUAAGGUGUCAGGUGAAAUAACUGCACCAAACGACCGACCCCCAAAACAGGCAAACUAAUUGAACAAGAAGAAGAAGAAGAAGUAGACAAAAGAAGCAGAAGCAGAGGCAAGAAAACCAAAAGGAAAUUCAUCAGAAUAUGGAAAGUUCAGCAACUGAGGAGCAGCAGAGAGAAGGACCCCGUUUCAACAGCCCCUGCACUUUCUUUGAACAAGUCAUCAAGGCUUGCCUCAACUGUUUGGGACUUCAUGAUGAUCAUAAUCAACACCCUCUUCCUCCACAGACCGAAAGAGAAAUGAAAUUUAAUGAAGAGACAAUUAUGAUGAUGGCUACAAGAUCAAGGAAUCUGACUAAACCACCUAUAAGCUCUGGUCCAGGUGGUCAGAUUAACUAUUCUUCUUCUGUUUCUUCCUCCUAAUUAACUAUUCUUCUUCUGUUUC